GCAGGGGUACCCAAGUCCGGUCAAAGGGGCAGGACUUAAGAUCCUGUGGCUAAGUGCCUUCAGCGGUUCGAAUCCGCUCCCCUGCA
rnacentral:tRNA from 1 species